rnacentral:lncRNA from 1 species
AAUAUGUCUUUAGUAUAUAGUUAUCUUUCAACAUUAAAUUGAUGAUAAAAAAGGUGUGCAAUUGUCAACUGAUAUUUUAAUAAAAUUUUUUAUUAGAGUUGAUUUAACUACUUUUUACACUUCUCAGAUAUCCCUUUCCAUUUCAACAUAACAAUUUACAUAUUUGAAUUUUCUUUGCAUCGUUGUCAAAGAUUGUUUGGAACGUUUGGCCUGUUCAUACAAUAACUCGAUAUGAUACUUAUAGAAUUCGCCCCAACAAAUAAUACUUUGGUUUUGCCAAAUUUUUUUGUUAGAGGUUAUUUAUAUUCUUUCAUCAUAAUAAUCUUCAAAUAA